rnacentral:rRNA from 1 species
GAUCGGUGCUUGCACCGAGAUUCAACAUGGAACGAGUGGCGGACGGGUGAGUAACACGUGGGUAACCUGCCCUUAAGUGGGGGAUAACAUUUGGAAACAGAUGCUAAUACCGCAUAGAUCCAAGAACCGCAUGGUUCUUGGCUGAAAGAUGGCGUAAGCUAUCGCUUUUGGAUGGACCCGCGGCGUAUUAGCUAGUUGGUGAGGUAAUGGCUCACCAAGGCGAUGAUACGUAGCCGAACUGAGAGGUUGAUCGGCCACAUUGGGACUGAGACACGGCCCAAACUCCUACGGGAGGCAGCAGUAGGGAAUCUUCCACAAUGGACGCAAGUCUGAUGGAGCAACGCCGCGUGAGUGAAGAAGGCUUUCGGGUCGUAAAACUCUGUUGUUGGAGAAGAAUGGUCGGCAGAGUAACUGUUGUCGGCGUGACGGUAUCCAACCAGAAAGCCACGGCUAACUACGUGCCAGCAGCCGCGGUAAUACGUAGGUGGCAAGCGUUAUCCGGAUUUAUUGGGCGUAAAGCGAGCGCAGGCGGUUUUUUAAGUCUGAUGUGAAAGCCCUCGGCUUAACCGAGGAAGCGCAUCGGAAACUGGGAAACUUGAGUGCAGAAGAGGACAGUGGAACUCCAUGUGUAGCGGUGAAAUGCGUAGAUAUAUGGAAGAACACCAGUGGCGAAGGCGGCUGUCUGGUCUGUAACUGACGCUGAGGCUCG